AGCUGCUGCUCAUGUUCAACAAGAUCCGGUGGAGAUUAAUUUAUCUCAGCCUCAUUUGUCACAAGAUAGUGACAUGGAGUUGAUGGUCCCUGCAACUAUUGUUCCACCAAUAGCAAGGAAUAAGCUAACCAUAACAAGAGCCAAACAAAGGAAGGUUGCUGAUAAAGAUGAUGCAGAAAACUGAAGAAGCAUUUUUUGUUGCAUUUUGAAGGUUGCUGAAGGUUGCUGAAGACCCAUUUUUUGUUGCGCAUUUUGAAGGUUGCUGAGUUUGAAGGUUGCUGAUGAAGAAAACUGAAGAAGCAUUUUUUGUUGCAUUUUGAUAUUAGGAUGUGUAGUUGUAUAUUUUGAAAGCUUCACUGGCAUGUGAAAUGAUGUAAACAUUAUGGCCUACUGAACAAUUGCUUCUAACUACCAUGCUUUGGGAUGUCAAAUAUUAUGUGAAAUUGAUCUAAAGUCAUGUUUCUUCUCUUUCUUUUAUAAAUUAUACACUGUGUUGGAUUU